GGCAUGGCUGUGCUUUCAGUAAAAGAGAAUUUUGUGUGACCUCUAUUAGGAAGGAGGAAGGUCAUACAUAAGCAAACUAUUCAAAAGCUUAUUAUAAUCAUCAUUUCUCUAAAUAGGACUGAUACAAUGGAUUUCAGUUCUUGAAGACCCUGUUUUAAUGUACAUUGGCUGAUAUUAACUGUUUAAACUGGAGGGAACUUUCAAAGGGUUCCAUUUGGCAAACCAAAUUGUAACUGCCAAAGAUAAUUUAAUUUUAAUUUAUGACUCAUCUGGUCUUAGCAUCCACGUCCACUAUGGGAUACUUCAGGGCAAUGAGUGCUAUGACUAUGGGGAAUUUAGGCAAGACAAUAGUUAAGGAUUUUCUUGAUGGUUGAAGGAACUAAGCCUAAAACACAACACACUUCCUCCUGAAGCUUACUUGCCUGGAGUUUUUUCCAUUUUAAGGAUAAUGCUGGCUUCAUAGAACCGGUUUAGAAAGUAUUCCAUCUGCUUCUAUCUUCAGGAUGAGAUUGUGGAGGAUUGGCAUCAUUUCUUCAUUAAAUGUUUGACAGAAUUUGAAAGUGAAAUCACCUGGGCCUAUUGCUUUCUAUUUUGAAAGAAAAACUAAUGUCCAAAGAAUAUCAAGAAAUGGAAGCCUCCCAGGCCUAACUCCUAGGCUUCCUGAUGUCAGUCUACCUUCCACCAUGGAGAUAAACAGCCAAGGACACUCAUCUGAGAAAUGCUUUGUCUCCUCUACUGGAAGCAGCCCCAGACACAGGCCGACGGGCAAAUGCUGACCAAGAAAUCCAUGGUCCACCUCCCCUACCUAAAAUCCCAAAUAAAAACCUCUAUCUGUUUCUUAAUGAAAAGCAAGCAACUUUUGAGGCACUGGCCCUUUGCUUUGCUCCCUCUGCCUGGGAAAGUAAAGCUUUCCUUUUUCUCCCAAGACUCUGUUCUUAUUAUGCCGAUUGGCAUCUGGAUCAAAGGCCAAACUUUCAGUAACAGUAAUAUUUGUAG
rnacentral:lncRNA from 1 species